rnacentral:lncRNA from 1 species
UCAAAUCUACCUGGCAAAAUAUCCAAGAACCAUCGACUCUUCUCUCAAGUAAGUUUUUCCAGCUCUUAAUAGUUUAAGGAGCAGUCAUGGUAAGGAAAAAUUCGAAGACAAAAUUAGAGGUGUUUUGGCACUUCAAUCUUCUUCGAGUAUUUCUGCAAUUUAAAGGUACUUUUUUUGUUAUUUCUCUGUUUUCCUCUUUAAUAUUUUUAGAUUUGAUUCAUAAUGUAUCAAUUUUCAUAUGUAGUUUGACGAUUUUGUUUUGAUCUUCAAUUUUUUUCCUUCGAUAUAUAAAUUUGGCUAAAUACAUUUAUAAAAUUUUGAUUUUAGAUUUAAUUAUAUGAAUUGACGAAGUUUGAUUUUUGUGUUGUCCAAAUUUGUGGAAAAUCGAAAUCAUUGCCUAAAUUAUGAUAAAGGCCUACCAAAAAUUGCAAAACCAAGGUCGUUAGUGUCAGCAUGACAUUUACAAAAUCAUUAAAAAUCCAAUCUCUUAUAUUAGAAGUGUGAGUCUAAAUUGGUGGUAUCAACGUAUUUGCUACAUGUCAAUAAAAUUAAAAUUGAGGAUAAUUUUAUCAUUACACCUAUAAAGUGAGGUAUGAAUUCUACGUGACUUAAAUUUCAAGAGCCACCAGCUUCUCAAAUUUACCUGGCGAAAAAUCCAAGAGCCACCGACUUUUUGUCUCAAAUAAAUUUUUCCAGCUCUUAAUAGUUUAAGGAGCAUUCAUGGCAAUGAACAAGUCAAAGACAAAAUCAGAGGUGUUUUGACACUUCAAUCUUUUUCGAGGAUUACUGCAAUUUAAAGGUACUUUUUUGUUAUUUCUCUGUUUUCCUAUUUAAUAUUUUUAGAUUUGAUUCAUAAAAUAUCAAUUUUCGUAUGUAGUGUGACGAUUUGGUUUUGAUCUUCAACUUUUCCAUACGAUAUAUAAAUUUGUCUAAAUAAAUUAAUAAAAUUUUGAUUUUAAAUUUACAUAUAUGGAUUGACGAAGAUUUAAUUUUGGUAUUGUCCAAAUUUGUGGAAAAUCGAAAUUAUGGCCAAAAUUAUGAUAAAGGCCUACCAGAAAUCACAAAACCAAGGUCAUUAGUGUCAGCAUGACAUUUACAGACCAUUAAAAAUCCAAAAAUAAUAAUUAUAGGCCAUUUGUGCAGUGAGAAAUAUAUGAUAUUCUCAUAAACUUUUAGGAACAGUUGAAAAUGCUUGGGAAGAAUAGUUAAGGGAGGGAGUCGUCUUUGCAGUUAGAAAAUCAUUCAUGAUAUUGUUGUAUCAACAAGUUUACGACUAGCAAUCAGUUGAAGAACUCUCAAGUUCAAAAUUCAAAAAUUAUGCCCACACACUUUAGAAGUUUACAUAAAGGGAAGGAAAAAUAUAGUGAACACUACAACAAUUUUUUAAACAAACCUAUAAAUAAAAUGUGAAGUUGAAACAAAUUUAGAUUCAUUUCUUAAUUUUUCAUAUAAUAUGUUUUCUUCUUGAUUUCCUUAUGCGCUGAAGAAAAAUGGAUCAAUGAAGUUAGAAUUUUGAAAGUUAAAUUAUUGUCCAACAACAACCUGAUUUUUUUCUUUUCUAAAACUCUCCGAUCACUGCUCAUAUAUUCUCGCUAUUUCAAUCUUGUUCACUUUGUGUUCCCAUGACCCAUGCUAUUAUUCACAAGGUACAACUAAUCUUUGGAAUUGUUAUGAAAUCCCUACCACCUGUUUAGUAACCAAUGGUACAACAUACGACAUUGUUCCUUCCAACGUUUUUCCUAUUAGCUCAACCAUGAUCCAAAUUCCUUUGAUGCAGUUUUAAACUUCAAUAAUGAUACGUCAAAAAAGUUGUUAUUAGUUUGUACGAUAUGGAGCCUUUUCAAAACGAUCUACUAAAUUCAUCGAGUUGUUUCAAGGUAUCAAAAUGGUUAAUUAUUAAUGGAAUUCCUUAUAUUUACCCUUUUCUUUUGUUUCUAUUGUUCAAGAAGCCUCAAGUUUGUUGAACUAAAUUUUUGUAGAUUGACAGAUCCUAGGCUAUAAUGUGUUCUUGACUUAUAAUUGAUUAUAAAUUCUUUAUAAUUACCUCAAGGUCUUUGCUGAUUGUUUGUACAUAAAGAGUCCCUAAAGAGAGUCCUUCUGAAUAGCCUCAAAGAAAUUGUGAAAGUCCCUCAAAUGAUUCUGUUUUGAUUCCUUAAACAUAUUUGAAAAUAUGUAACAAUUGGUUAAUUAUCGUUAAAAUGAUGUUUCACCGUUAGCUUAACAAAAAUAGUCUAGAUAUUAUUGAAAUGAUCGUUUAUAAAAUUCAACCUCAAACGCCGCUGAUGCACGUGAUCCAGCAACCCCUAUUGUCUAUAUUGAACACUGGCCUUUAACACAUACUUCCUGUUAGAGUUUAAAGCACUUAUGGUAGACUUUGAUAUUGAAACAAACGAAGGGUUUCUUUUGGUGCAUUUUGGUUCUUCUUACAGAGACUAUCCUCUGUAUAAAUUAUCAUUUGUCCUUCAAUCAAAACUCGGGCGUCUUCGUUACAAUUGUUAAGCAAUUGUUUUAACACUUAGUAUUAUAUGUAUCAAGAAUUCAUAUGUUGUUCAAGCUUUGAAACAAUGGAAACUUUAAUCACAACUAGUAAAGAACUAGAAUUACAGUAGUGAAGACAACUUGUAGAAUGCAAAGCUUGAACCAUCUUAUGCAUUAGUAGAAUAUAUAUACAGAUUACAUGUAAGCUUCUAGAUGAUUACACUUUGAGCUUAACUAACUAUACACAUUGAAAACAUGUGAUAAUGUCACGACCCAACUCCGGGCCGCGACUGGCACCCACACUUACCCUCCUAUGUGAGCGAACAAACCAAUCUAAACUUUAACAUUUCAAGGUAAUAUCAACAUAAAUUAAUGCGGAAGACUUAAACUCAUUAAUAAAAUCAAUAACUAUUAUUGUUCCCAAAAUCUGGAAGUCAUCAUCACAAGAACAUCUAUAAUCAAAUUAUUAAACUAAGAGUAUUCUAAGAAGCUAAAAAUAAUAAGAAGCUAGUCCAUGCCGGAAGUUCAAGACAUCGAGACUCGAAGAAGAAGAUCCAGUCCAAGCUAGAAGCAUUAGCUCACCCUGAAUUUCUGAUGUAGUAAGACUGGCUUGAGUUACUGUUGAGUCGAAGAUGACGGCACGUUUGCUGCACUCCACAAAUAAACAAGAAGAAACAAUAAAAGUAGGGGUCAGUACAAAACACGGGUACUGAGUAGAUAUCAUCGGCCAACUCAAAAUAGAAAACAGUAUGUAUUAAGCAAUAUCAUAAAAUCAACUAAUAUCCUUAGCAUGCAGCAUUUACAGUUACCAUAACCCUUGGUUACAACACCAAGCACAUCAAUGAGGACUCACACCUCCUCAUCAUACUCAUUUGGGAAUUUAGUUCAUUAGAUUGGAUAUAUUAACAAGUUUCAAGAUUCAUUAUCUUUAUUCCCCUCGUGUCGGUACGUGACACUCCGCUCCUCAAUAUACUAUCCUGGUGUCGGAACGUGACACUCCGAUCCUCAUAUACUAUCCUGGUACCGGAACGUGGCACGCGAUCCAUAUUCUAUCCUGGUGUCGGAACGUGACACCCGAUCCAUAUUCUAUCCUGGUACCGGAACGUGGCACCCGAUCCAUAUUCUAUCCUGGUGUCGGAACGUGACACCCGAUCCAUAUUCUAUCCUGGUGUCGGAACGUGACACCCGAUCCAUAUUCUAUCCUGGUACCGGAACGUGGCACCCGAUCUCCUAAUCUCACCGCUUUCGUUCAUCAAGCCUUCUUUUAUACCAAGGCAUCAUUAUUAACAAAGUAGAUUAGGGUUUCUUUUCAAGAUUUGGGAUUCAAUAGCUUCAUCAUGCUUAUUUAUUCACAAUUACAUAAUCACAUCAUUCAUGCAAGCAUACAAUUAAGCAUAUAGAAGGUUUACAAUACUACUAACACAUAUCAUUCGCUAUUAAGAGUUUACUACGAAUAGCAUGAAAACCAUAACCUACCUCCACCGAAGAGUUGAAUCAAGCAAGAAUUUUCCCAAAUCUUUGUUUCUCCCUUCUCGUUCGAUUCUCUCUCUCUCUCUUGUUCUUUCUAUUUUCUUUAUUCAAACCCUCUUUCUUUUACCCUAAUUAGUAUAUAAUUAAGAAUAAAAGAUGGCAAUAAUACCCCACUAAUUAACUUAGGGUUACCUCUUUUAACCCCUCAAGAAUUUUAGUUAUUAAUAUAACCCCACGAAAUCUAUAAUUAAGGAAAGAAUAGUCCAAAAACGUCCCUUAAAACUUCACCAGAAAUCCGACUCUACCUGGGAUUUGCGCAACUUGUGAUGGGCCAUCGUGCCUGCGACGGUCCGUCCUGCAGGUCGUCGCAAAGUUCAGAGAAUGGAUUUUCACUGAAGUCUCUGUGAUGGUCCGUCACGCCUGUGACGGUCCGUCCUGCCAUUCCGUCACGAAGUUCAGAGAGUCGAUUUUCAGUACCCAAUUUCAGAUUUUCUAAAUGUUUUGAAACGAGACCCUGCGACGGUCCGUCGUGCCCAUGACGGAUCGUCGUUUGGUCCGUCGCCUCAGCCUGUUUUUCCAGAAUUGAAGUUUGUUGCUAAAAACGACUAAACAGGUCGUUACAGAUAACUAACUCCCUAACUAAUUCUCUAACUAACUUUAUAACUAACUAUGUGACUUGAGCUGUACAAUGCAAUGUUAAUACUCAAUACCCCCCCCCCCUCCCUCAAGUUGUAGGUGAAGACAACACUGCCAACUUGUCAAGAAUAGAAGAGUGCUUGAUUCCUGUUAAGGCUUUCGUCAAUAUGUCAGCCAACUGGUCUUGUGUAGCAAUGUGAUGCAAUGAGAUAAGUCCUUGUUGUAGGACAUGUCUCACAAAAUGACAAUCUACCUCAAUAUGUUUUGUUCUUUCGUGAAAAACAGGAUUCUUGGCUAUGUGUAAGGCAGACUGGCUGUCACAAAAGACCAAAAUAGGCUUUGGAUAAGGAACACCUAAUUCAGUAAGCAAUCAACUUAGCCAAAUUAAUUCACCAACUACUUUCCUGUGUGACUCGUAUUCAGCUUCUGCUGAUGAUAGGGAGAUGGUUUCUUGCUUCUUUGAUUUCCAGCUAAUUGGACUGCCACCAAGCAAAACAAUAAAUCCACUCACAGAUUUUCUGGAAUCUCGACAUGAGGACCAAUCUGAAUCAUAGUAGCCCUUCAUAGAAAAUUAUGCAUCUUUGGACAAAAAUAAACGCAAUGUAGGAUCAGACUUCAAGUAUCUUAGAAGGUGAAAAGCAGCCUGCAAAUGUGGCUCUCUAGGGUCCUGCAUGAACUGGCUUAAGUGCUGAACACUAAAAGCAAUAUCAAACCUUGUUUUUUUAAGGAAGUUAAGUUUUCCAACUAAUUUUCUAUAGUAAGUACUAUCACUUAGAAUUGGACCUUCCUUAGCUCUUAGCUUUGUAUUGGGAUCAAGAGGGGAAGAUAAUGAGGUCAGAUGUAAACAAUCAUACUCCUUUAGUAAAUCAAGUACAAAUUUCCUGUGAGAUAAUAAUUCCCUAAGCUGUGUGAAGCACCUCCAUCCCCAAGAAAUAGUGAAGUAAUCCCAAAUCCUUAAUCUUGAACUUGUUGUUUAGAAAAAAUUUAAGGUCUGCUAUCUCAUCAACAUCUUUUCCUGUAAGGACUAUAUCAUCAACAUACACAGCCACAUAAACUACUGAAGUUAGUGUCUUCUUGUAGAAUAAAGAAUAAUCAUACAUAGAGUGAGCAUAUCCCCUAGAACAUAAAGCUUCAGUGAGCUUAGCAUACCACUGCCUACUGGCCUGCUUGAGUCCAUAAAGGGACUUGUUCAAUUUGCAUACCAAAUUAGGGGACUAGACUGGAGGUCCAGGUGGUACUUCCAUGUACACUUCCUCAUGUAGAUCACCAUGAAGGAAGGCAUUAUUUAUAUCCAACUGAUACAUAGUCUAACCUUGUUUAAAUGCUGUGAUCAAUAAGGCCCUCACUGUGGUCAUUUCACUACAGGAGAGAAAGUUUCAGUAUAAUCAAUGCCUGCUUGUUGUGUAUAAUCUUUGACAACAAGUCAUGCCUUAAGUCUUUCUAUUUUACCAUCUGCUUUGUGUUUUACCUUGUAGACCCACCUGCAGCCUAUAGCUUUCUUUCUUAGGGGAAGUGGAACUAAAUCCCAAGUGUGAUUUAUGUGCAAUGCAUCAAACUCUUGUGUCAUGGCAACCUGCCAUGCAGGAUCAAUGACAGCUUCUUCAUAUGAAGUUGGUUCCCUGUCAAUGCAAACAUUUAUAACAAUAUCUUGACUAGCAGGAAUUAGAGCACUAUGAGCCAGGUGGUGGUGAUCAGAGAAAAGAGACUGAAGAGAAGGGUGGUUUUUGAGGUUUGAGAAACAGGUGGUUUAAGUAGAGGUAUAGAGUGAACAUAGUCAUUCAUAUGUUUUGGAGGUUUGUUACAUCUUGUGGAUCACCUAGGUUGGUUAACAAUUAAUGGUGCAGGAGAUAUAGAUGGGGAAGGUAUGGAUACAGUGGGGUUAGGUGACAAGUCACAAGCAGCAUUAGGACCAUUUGAACUAUUUAGAGAGUCUUGUUUGCCAUUCUUAUCAAAAUCAUCCAAAAUAUCAAUGAAAUGAGGUGAUUGUAACAAUGAAAAGGGUGAACCAGUUGUAUUUGAAAAGGAAUCAUUAAAAGGAAAAGUAUUUUCAUGAAAAACAACAUCUCUGGAUACAUGUAUCUUACCUGUGGACAUAUUUAGAACUUUGUAUCCUUUUGUCUCAUGAGGAUAUCCAAUGAAAAUAUGAGGAGUAGUUCUUGGUUCAAACUUAGCUCUAUGAGGUAUAGGUACAAUAGGGUAACAAAGGCAUCCAAAACUUCUUGUGUGAAUAGAGGAGUUUUUUGAAAUAUAGAAUUUCAUAUGGACAUUUUUGGUUCAACACAGUGGAUGGGAGCCUAUUUAUUAUAUAAGUUGCACAAAGAAUGCAUUCUCCCCAAUAUUUGACAGGUAGUUUGGACUGAAAUAACAAUGCUCUAGCAGUCUCAAGAAGGUGUUUGUGUUUUCUUUCUACCACACCAUUUUGUUGUGGUGUAUAAGGACAAGUUUUCUGGUGAACUAUACCUUUUGUUUUGAAAAAAUUUGUAGCCUCUGUAUUGAUAAAUUCCAGACCAUUGUCUGUUCUGACUUUCUUGACAGUGGUUUCAAAUUGGUUUUCUAUCAUAGUAAUAAAGUUUUUGAGAGUUUGUAAAGCAUUGCUCUUAGUACUUAACAAUUGCAUCCAAGUAGACCUACUAAAAUCAUCUACAAUGGUCAUGAAAUACUUAAAAUGGUUAUAUGUUGGUGUAUGGUAAGGCCCCCACAGAUCAACAUGAAGUAAUUCAAAAAUGUCUGAUGUUAGGGUGGUUCUUGGUUUAAAAGGUAGUCUUUCUUGUCUUGCCAUAGGGCAAAUGGAACACAUAAAAGACUGUUGGCUGAGAAUUUGACAGGGAUGGAGGAAAUAUCUCUCAUUUUGACAAAAGGUACAUGUCCCAAUCUGUUAUGCCACACAACAUCUAUAUGAUUUUUAGCACAUGGUUGAGAAUUGGAAACACAAGAUUUUGGACAGGAGAUAGAGUUUGAUGCAUGAGAGUCAGAUAUCAAACAUGAAUUUUUCUUAUUGAGAAUAGGAGUACAUUGCUUGUUAUCUAGAAACUGAAUAGACUGUCUUUUACUAUAGUAAUUGCAAGAAUUACAUGGAAUCAUAUUGCAUUUUGAAACAUUGGAAGAGUUCUUCAAACAACUUGGACACAGAAAAUGGAGACCCUCUUCUGCACUACCAAUCACCAGAGGCCUUUUCAUUGAAGGGGCUUGCAUGAAAUAAGAAUUUUUGGUGAAACUAACAGUGUAUUUUGAGUGUGCAGACAAAGUAUGAAUAGAGAUCAAGUUAUAUUUAAAAGAUGGCACAUACAAAACUUUAUCUAAAUUGAUCAUGGGUCCUAGUAUCACACUACCAACUUGGGUUACCUUAACUUUGUAUCCAUUAGGUAAGGCAACUAACAAAGGAUAUGGUAAAAAUGUGGUGUCAUGUAGUAGAGAUAUAUUGAAAGUCAUGUGGUUUGAGGCUCCUGAGUCUAAUAUCCAUGAGUCAGAUUUGUUUUUGAAACAAUUACAUGACAGUUUUCCAAAGUCAAUAGAAGAAGUACAAACUAUGAUACCUGCAAAAUCAGUUGUUGGUCCAUUAGCAAGGUUUGGAUUUGCAUUAGAUCCUUCAUUCCCAUUUUCCUUGUUGAAUUGCUGAAGCAUGCCUUGAACAUGACCAUAUUGGUCUUUGGUAAGGCUCACUUUAUACAUUUCUUCAUCUAAUCUUUUCCCAGAGGUAAAGUCUGGUGUGCAAUUAGCAUUUGCUACAACAUUAUUGCCAGAUUCCCUAUUGUUCCUUUGAUUUCCCUUGCGAAAAUUAUUAGGCCUUGGAAUCGAAUUGUUUCUCUGAUUUGGAUUUGAACCAGUUGGAUAUCCAUGAAGUUGAUAACACUUCUCAGCAAGAUGACCAGUCCUGUUGCAGUAAGUGCAGAAUCUGUCCUUGUAUUGAAGCUGAGAAUGACCAUGUGAGUUAUUAGGAGCAUAGUUUGUUUUGUAGGAUGAAGAAGGCCUGAUGUUUCCAGCUGAUGAAGAAGGUCUGAUAUUUCCAGCUGAUGAAGAAGGCCUGAUGCUUCCAGCAUGUAAAGCAGUAGAUUCUACAUUGAAAUUGCUAGAAGGUUUGAUUUCCCUUUGGUGUUCAUCUUGGACUAACAGAGAAAAAGCCUGAGCCAUGGUAGGCAGCGAAUUCAUCAUAAGUAUGCUUCCACAAAUAACUGUGUACAUAUCGUUCAAUCCCAUGAGAAAUUGGAUUAACCUUCUAUCUUGUUCUGCUUUGUGAGUAAGUGCCUUUCCUCCACAAGUGCAGCUGCAAGUGCACUGAGCUUUGGCAUUCAAAGUACUGAUCUCCUCCCAUAACUUCUUUAGUUUGGUGUAAUAACCUGUGAUAUCAAGAGAUCCCUGUGACAAGUCAUUAAUUUCUCGUUGGAUCUGGCAUAAUUUUGCACCAUUUGUUUGCUCAUAUCGAUCCUCCAGUUCUUUCCAUAAUUCUGCAGAAUCCUGAACAUACUCAACACUAUCAACAAUUUCUUUAGAUAGUGAAUUCAGGAUCCAAGAGGUAACAAUGUUAUCACAUCUCUCCCAUUGUCUGUACGAUAAAUCAUUUGAUUGAGAACGUGGGCAAUCUCCAUUAAUGGAUCCCAACUUGUUCUUCACUGAAAGUGAUCUCAGAACACUACACCUCCAUGAACAAAAACCCACUCCAGUAAAUUUAACUGGUACAAGAAUUUCUCCAGGGUUAUUAGAUGGAUGUAUAUAGAAAGGAUGAUUGGAAUCAAUUGUGUUGCUGGUAGAACCACCAGAUUGACAAGAACUUGCAGUAUCUGCCAUGGAUGAACAGAAACAAAAUUCAGAAACAGAGAAGAAGAAGAAGAAAAUUGCAAGAAACACUUUACGCAAUUGCAGAUCAGAUAGCAAUCAAACAGAGUACUUCAGAUCGAGAUUGCUCUGAUACCAUAUCAAGAAUUCAUAUGCUGUUCAAGCUUUGAAACAAUGGAAACUUUAAUCACAACUAGUAAAGAACUAGAAUUAGAGUAGUGAAGACAACUUGUAGAAUGCAAAGCUUUAAUCAUCUUAUGCAUUAGUAGAAUAUAUAUACAGAUUACAUGGAAGCUUCUAGAUAAUUACACUUUGAGCUUACCUAACUAUACACAUUGAAAACAUGUGAUAACUAACACCCUUUUAACUAACUUUAUAACUAACUAUGUGAGUUGAGCUGUACAAUGCAAUGUUAAUACUCAAUAAUAUGGUCAUGAAUUUAUUUUCUAUUUUGAAUCUUUCUUAUAUAUUUUGUAUUGCAGGGGAGGAUUUAACAUUUCAUUUGUUAAUAAUUUUUUUCAUAUAUGAUGUGAUAGUAGAUGCAACAGAGAAUUGCGUUAGCUGCUACAUGAUUAAUGACUGUUGUGUUAUGCUUGGAAAAGUUAACUGUUUCUUUCUUUCAUUCUUUCUUUCGUUGAUACGUUAGUUAUUUUUUAUGAUGUUCUCAUUUUAUACAAAUUUUGUUGGUAACAAAAUAACAACUAUUCUAUUGAAAGUUGAAUUCGAAAAUACUAUACACCGUACAACUGUAUUUGAAUCCAAUAACUUUGGAUUCUCUGUUGAAAUAUUUUUCACCUUUUGUCUAAUUAUCAGCUUACUUAUAAAAUUACUUAUUGGUAUGAUCAUAUUAUUAUGAUAUGAAUAUUAUUGCAUUAUCGUAUAGACAAUUCAUAUAGUACACAUGUGGUUAUUUGUAUUAAUAACAAGCUCGUGUCUUGAGCUGCUCUAGGAAUAAAAGGUCAGGUGCCAUUUCUUGACAACAUUCAUUAUUUUGAGAGUUUUUGUGUUUCCAUAAACUUUAAAUUGAUUUGUAACUUUAGGCUCCGAAUGAUUUGUACGGCUGAAACAUGUUUUCCCGACGAGUUGUUCUGGUUGUGCGUAUUUGCACGUUAUUAGGACAUAAACCUAAUGUGAAUCUUUUGAAUAAAGUGGCAUUUUGAUAAUGAUUUGUUAGUGGAUCAAUAUUUUCUUGCAUUUGAUGAGUUGAUGAGGAAAAAAGAUUGAGGUACGCUCUUGUCAAUGCAGCAUCUUCGAUAGUUUGUACUCUUGGGAAUUGAAUUUCCAUAAAUUUGUUAUAUGGUCUGCUGUAGAAAAGAGUCCGUUCAGGUAUACAAGACGUGAUUACUACAUUGAAGAGAAGUGAUGAGUGUUCUCCUGAGCUAUCGAUAGAGAAUGAUUAAGAUGUGGAUUAACUACUUUGAUCAAUCGAUGACAACAUUGCCUGAUGAUGAGGAAG